AGUUGCUAAGACAGGAUAGGAAAUUAAGAGGCAUCUUUUAAUUUUUAAAAGACCUUUUUCGAAAGGUAUACUUAAAGAGGGGCUUGCGCCACAUUAGUUAGUUGGUAAGGUAAAGGCUUACCAAGACGAUGAUGUGUAGCUGGACUGAGAGGUCGAACAGCCACAUUGGGACUGAGACACGGCCCAAACUCCUACGGGAGGCAGCAGUAAGGAAUUUUUGGCAAUGGAGGAAACUCUGACCGAGCGACGUCGCGUGAACAAUGAAGUACUUCGGUAUGUAAAGUUCUUUUAUUGAAAAAGAAAAAAUAGUGGAAAAACUAUCUUGACAUUAUUCAAUGAAUAAGCCCCGGCUAAUUAUGUGCCAGCAGCCGCGGUAAUACAUAAGGGGCGAGCGUUAUCCGGAAUUAUUGGGCGUAAAGGGUGCGUAGGCGGUUUGAUAAGUCUAUAGUUUAAAUGCAGUGCUUAACGCUGUAGCGCUAUAGAAACUGUCUGACUAGAGUUAGAUAGAGGCAAGCGGAAUUCCAUGUGUAGCGGUAAAAUGCGUAAAUAUAUGGAGGAACACCAGAGGCGUAGGCGGCUUGCUGGGUCUUAACUGACGCUGAGGCACGAAAGCGUGGGGAGCAAACAGGAUUAGAUACCCUGGUAGUCCACGCCGUAAACGAUGAGUACUAAGUGUCGGGUUUCGGCUCGGUACUGAAGUUAACACAUUAAGUACUCCGCCUGAGUAGUACGUACGCAAGUAUGAAACUUAAAGGAAUUGACGGGACCCCGCACAAGCGGUGGAUCAUGUUGUUUAAUUCGAAGAUACACGAAAAACCUUACCAGGUCUUGACAUAAUUUUGCGACAUUAUAGAAAUAUAAUGAAGGUUAUCAGAAUUACAGGUGGUGCAUGGUUGUCGUCAGCUCGUGUCGUGAGAUGUUAGGUUAAGUCCUAAAACGAGCGCAACCCUUGUCGUUAGUUGCGACCACGUAAUGGUGAGCACUUUAGCGAGACUGCCAAUGAAAAAUUGGAGGAAGGUGAGGAUUACGUCAAAUCAUCAUGCCCCUUAUGAUCUGGGCUACAAACGUGAUACAAUGGCUGUUACAAAGAGUAGCUACAACGUGAGUUUUUAGCCAAUCUCAAAAAAACAGUCUCAGUUCGGAUUGAAGUCUGCAACUCGACUUCAUGAAGUUGGAAUCGCUAGUAAUCGCGAAUCAGCAUGUCGCGGUGAAUACGUUCUCGGGGUUUGUACACACCGCCCGU
rnacentral:rRNA from 1 species